rnacentral:piRNA from 1 species
UGCAAAAUAUUACGUUUAGUAGUUCGGC